rnacentral:rRNA from 1 species
UACGUAGGUGGCAAGCGUUGUCCGGAUUUAUUGGGCUUAAAGGGUGCGUAGGCGGUUCCUUAAGUCAGUGGUGAAAUACUUCAGCUCAACUGGAGAGGUGCCAUUGAUACUGGGGAACUUGAGUACUGAUGAGGUAGGCGGAAUGGACGGUGUAGCGGUGAAAUGCUUAGAUAUCGUCCAGAACACCGAUAGCGAAGGCAGCUUACUAAAGAGUAACUGACGCUGAGGCACGAAAGCGUGGGGAGCAAACAGG